rnacentral:rRNA from 1 species
GAUUAAAUUUUAUUUAUUAAUUUUUAAUGAUUUUAUUUUAUUUUAUUAAAAAUAUUUAUAUAUUUUGUUGUUUUAUUAUUUUAAAAGAAAAAAUAAUUUUAGUUAUAGUUUAUUGGUAUUGUGAAAGAUAAUUGAAAUAUUUUGAAAAAUUAUUGGGGUAAUAGAAAAUUUAAUUUAUUGUACCUUGUGUAUCAGGGUUUAUUUAAUAAAAUUUAUUUUUAAUAAUUUUCUCGAUUUUAAAAGAGUUAAUAAAUUAUUUAAUUUAAUGUAAUAAAAUUAUUUAGAAUAAUUUAUUAGAAAUGAAAUGUUAUUCGUUUUUAAAGGUAUCUAGUUCUUUAAGAAAUAAAUUUAAUUUAGAUAUUUUUUAUUAAUUGAUUAAUUAUAUAAAUUAAUUAAAUGAUUAAUUUUAAUAUUUUAUGGGAUAAGCUAUAGAAUAGAUAAUUAAAUUUUUUUGUUUUUAAUUAAUAAAUAUAUGCUUAGAAAUAGCUAUUAUUGAUGAGUUUGUUACAAUUUAUUGUGAAUUUUAUAUUAUUUAAUAGUUUUUAAUUUUUUAUUAAAGUAUUUAUUUAAAUUAAAAAAAUAAUUUAUUAAUGAUAAAAUUAGUAUAUAUUUAUAUUUAUGUAUAUAUGAUUUAUAAUAUAAGUUUUUAUAAAGAAUUCGGCAAAAUUUUUAUUCGCCUGUUUAACAAAAACAUGUCUUUUUGAUUUUUAUUUAAAGUCUGACCUGCCCACUGAAUAUUAAAUGGCCGCAGUAUUUUAACUGUGCAAAGGUAGCAUAAUCAUUAGUUUUUUAAUUGAAGGCUGGUAUGAAUGGUUGGACGAGAUAUAAGCUGUUUCAUAAAAAUUUUAUUAGAAAUUUAUUUUUUAGUUAAAAAGCUAAAAUAAUUUUAAAAGACGAGAAGACCCUAUAAAUCUUUAUAUAAUUAAUUAUUUUUAUUAUCAAAUUAUGUAAUAAUAAUUAAUUAUAUUUUAUUGGGGUGAUAUUAAAAUUUAAAUAACUUUUAAUUUUUAGAGCAUUGAUUUAUGAAUUUUUGAUCAUGUAUUAUUGAUUAGUAGAAUAAGUUACUUUAGGGAUAACAGCGUAAUUUUUUUGGAGAGUUCAUAUUAAUAGGAAAGAUUGCGACCUCGAUGUUGGAUUAAGAUAUAUAUUUAGGUGUAGAUGCUUAAUUAUUGAGUCUGUUCGACUUUUAAAUUCUUACAUGAUCUGAGUUCAAACCGGUGUAAGCCAGGUUGGUUUCUAUCUUUAAAAAGGUAAAAUAUUUUAGUACGAAAGGAUUAAAUAUUGAAUAAAUGAUUAUUUUUAAAAUUGAAUAUAAUUAAUUUAG